ACUACUUUCAAACGACGCCCUCCAUAUUCAAACACUCUAGCUCCUUCGUGCUGUGCCCUAGCUUACGACAUUAGCCAUCAACCACUCUCUCCCUCAAAGUGAGCUGCAUCGAAAUGGAGCAGCCGUGAACCACUCUCUCCCUGAAACCCAUUUUCCCAUCGAAAGUGUUAGGUCGUCGUACAGUGGGUGGGUGACUUUGUAUUUUGUCUCUGUGACUUUGUUUUUGUGUGCGGACAAGGAGAAGGACUACUGAAGAAUGAAGAUUCUUAGUGAAAUUUUUAAGAGCGAGAGAACCAUUCUUGCCACAAAUACCUAAGAACUACCUUAGAAUUAAGGAUGGAAGGAUGACAGUUCGAUUGCUAUUGAAGUAUCUAAUUAGCAAACUCAGACUAGAAAGCAAAUCAGAGAUCGUGAUGGCGGCGCAGCUAAUCCGUGAUCGAGUAGAGAUGGAGUGCUUAGAGGGAGCU